rnacentral:sRNA from 1 species
UUUUAGCCCCGACAGAAGGGAUAAACCUUGUGAGUACUACUUUUUCUGCGGGGCUCGCAAGUUUAGGAAUGAUGGCGGGAACAAUG